CAGGAGCCGCAAACCUGGGUGCGCCAUCACGGAUGUGGUCCGGGAGUGGAGCCUAGUCCGGUCUCAGGCACGCCCUUUGGAACAGCUGAUUGGAGCAGGACGGGCAUGACAUAUGCAAGGAGGAGAGUUAACAGGGUGGGAAGACUGAUUCGAGAUGAAGGAAAGCAAUGCAUUCUUGGAAUUGUAGUACUGAGCAACUGCUAAGACCUACAAAAGAAAUGGAUUUGGGUGGUUUCAGAACUCGGAAAGACAAAUUUUAGGAGAUUGCUAGCAACAGCCAAUGCACCCCCUUGGACAAAGCGUACAAAAUAAUCACCGGCCAGGGGUCCCACGGCAUACAGUCCUUUCUCUUGAAUACACUCGUAUGUGAAUGGAUCAAUAUCAAGAGGAUUC